AACGAACGCUGGCGGCAUGCCUAACACAUGCAAGUCGAACGAGACCUUCGGGUCUAGUGGCGCACGGGUGCGUAACGCGUGGGAACCUGCCCUUAGGUUCGGAAUAACUCCCCGAAAGGGGUGCUAAUACCGGAUAAUGUCUUCGGACCAAAGAUUUAUCGCCUUUGGAUGGGCCCGCGUUGGAUUAGCUAGUUGGUAGGGUAAAAGCCUACCAAGGCGACGAUCCAUAGCUGGUCUGGGAGGAUGAUCAGCCACACUGGGACUGAGAAACGGCCCAGACUCCUGCGGGAGGGAGGAAUUGGGGAUAUUGGAAAAUGGGGGGAAGGCUGAUCCAACAAUGGCGCGUGAGUGAUUAAGGCCUUAGGGUUGUAAAGCUCUUUUACCCGGGAUGAUAAUGACAGUACCGGGAGAAUAAGCUCCGGCUAACUCCGUG
rnacentral:rRNA from 1 species